rnacentral:lncRNA from 1 species
GUACUGUUCCUGCCCAUGGCUCAGCAGAGGGGAAGGAAAAAAUGCUACCUGCAGUUUAACAGUUCUGUGAAUGAAAAAACUUACUUUUAAUGCACAUCUUGCAACCUGGUAGGACUCAAGGAGAGACUGGCACGGCUAAGAUUGCAAUUCCUCCAGCAACUCACAUCUUUCUCAUGAAGUCUUGUCUGAGGAAUACUGGGGCAUGUGUCAGCAGAGAAGCUGUGGUGUUGCACUUUAACAGGGGGGUAUGUCAUUUGUGCCUCAUAUGUCUGAAAAUGGAAAGGGGUUAGGGAACUGAGUAUUGCCAGUCACAAAGUUCAAAAAAACUGCUAGGGCUGAAAAUGCUGUUUUACAAAGAUGUGGGGUCAGGGAGUGCAAGUCUUUCUUCUAUUUUUUGUGUUCCGGUUGAUUUGGGCCAUCUUUUUAAAUUAUUUCAACAACCAUAAGGGCCAGAAACUUACUGUUUUGUAACAUCUUUUAUGUCUCUCUCUUUUUUUUUUUAGUUUGUAUUUUGAUUCUUGAAACUCUUCAUAAAGCUUGAAUUUCAUAUAGAAUAGCCCUAUUUCUUCUUUAAAUUUGAUGAUAUGCUCUCAUUUUCAUGUAUGUAUUAGCCAAGUGUAAUAUUUCUUUUAAAGCUUUUAAUAUUUUCAGGCUUCCUUCCAUUUAAAAUUAUAAUUCUCUGCUAUGUCAAUUAAAUACUACACCAAUUUUCUUGAAGUUGAGUAAUUUUUGCCUUCAGUUCUACCUCUGAAUUUCAUCAGCACCAGUUAGGGCUGUCCAUCAGCAGCACAUUACUUAAACCUGUACAAAAAAUAUCCAGCUUUUUAUCAUUAAUCUGGUAUUUCUAGAAUAUAUUUCUACAUUUCAAUUCUUCUCUUUUCACUACAAUUUGUUUUACUCAUCACUAAUGUGGUUGCAGCUCAACUCAGCUCAGUUUGCUUCGCUGGGACUACAUUCAAUCAGGAAAAAAAUUCAGGCUUGUCUCCAAUUUCUUUAUCUGGAGGAGAAAGAGCUGGUAUCAGCAUGUUCAUACCCUGAUUAACAGUUUUAAGAACAGACAAAGUAUAAACACUUGAAAUAAAUUAAUUUAUUUGCUAAGGAAAUUACCA